CACACGACUCUCGGCAACGGAUAUCUCGGCUCUCGCAUCGAUGAAGAACGUAGCGAAAUGCGAUACCUGGUGUGAAUUGCAGAAUCCCGCGAACCAUCGAGUCUUUGAACGCAAGUUGCGCCCGAGGCACACUGGCCGAGGGCACGCCUGCCUGGGCGUCACGC
rnacentral:rRNA from 1 species